GCCAGGAUAGCUUACUUGGUAAAGCAUGAGGCUCUGAAUCUCAGGGACGUGGGUUCAAGCCCCAAGUUGGGCA